rnacentral:rRNA from 1 species
ACGGAGGGGGCUAGCGUUGUUCGGAAUUACUGGGCGUAAAGCGCACGUAGGCGGCUUUGCAAGUUAGAGGUGAAAGCCCGGGGCUCAACCCCGGGUCGGCCGUGGCGACUGCCCGACUCGAGCACAGUAGAGGCAGGUGGAAUUCCGGGUGUAGCGGUGGAAUGCGUAGAGAUGUGGAGGAACACCAAUGGCGAAGGCAGCCUUCUGGGCCAACACUGACGCUCAUGCACGAAAGCGUGGGGAGCAAACAGGA